UUGCCGUCUGCUUGGCCUGGUUGCCGCCUCAACCCAUCCCCAUUCCAUCCCCAGCGGAAACUUGGUUCUUCACUUCCAAAAUUUUUAUCUGCGAAUUUUUCUCUGAAAUUAGGGUUUCAGUUUGUUAAAUCCCUAAUCAUAUCGUCUAUGCUCGUGUUAAUGAUUCCGAAAAUCACUUCCAUGUUCCUUUCGAAGUACCGCUGCAACUACUGCAAGUUGAAUUUCUGUUAUCGGAGCUGAGUUCGGGAGGGAUUUUCUUCCGCUUUUCUGCAUUUUUCUCGAUCAAUCGGGCCCGUCAUUGAGCCUUCAGUAUUUCAUCGUUCUUCUGAGGCCUCUGCCAUUUUGGCGCCUUCAACUUUUGAGUGCCUUGGCUGCUUCAUCUCGUCAUCUCCGCAUGGUUCAGUUUCUGAUUCUUCAUGAAGAGUGCAUUUUCAAUAAUAAAUUUCUGCUCCAAGCUCAACUUUGGAAGAAAAAGACCAUGCAGAUAUUUUGCAACUGCCAAUUCUGCGUUGUCUUCUUUCAACUAUGCGGACGAGGACUGCUUUACUUCUGAACUUCCUGCUGCUACUAACUCUGAUGUUGACUCUGACGAACAAAAUUAUUUUGGCAAUGACGUUCAAGUUUCGAAACGCCUGAAAGCUGAUGAUCAUGAAAUGAAACUGAUAAAAUUGAUACUUGGGAACCAUGGGUUUAAUCUUGGUUCGCAUCCAAAACAAUUGGAGAUCGUAAGGAUUUUGGAUAUUCUAUUUGAGGAGAGUUCAGAUGCACGACUUUGUCUUUACUACUUCAAAUGGUCAGGAUGUUUAUCUGGAUCUAAUCGGUCGCUGGAGUCAAUCUGUAGGAUGAUGCAUAUUUUGGUUGCUGGGAAUAUGAAUCAUAGGGCAGUUGAUUUAAUGUCACAUCUUGUUAAAAAUUAUGGUAGUAAAGAGGGCUUUUCAACUAUAUUGCUGAAACUUUUCUAUGAAACACACCAUGAAAGGAAGACUUUAGAAACCACAUGUAGCAUGCUGGUUGACUGUUACAUCAAGGAAAGAAUGGUAACGGCUGCUCUUAUAUUGAUGGGUCAAAUGAAGAGCUUCGACAUAUUUCCUUCUAUAUGGGUAUACAAGGCGGUGAUACAAGCUUUAUUACAAACGAAUCAGUCGGAGUCAGCCUGGGAUCUUCUAGAAGAAAUGCAUAGGCAAGGUAUAAGUUUAAAUUAUUCGAUUAAUCUAUUUAUUUAUCAUUAUUGUGCAAAAGGUAAUCUGAGCAGGGGGUGGAAAGUGCUUUUGGAGUUGAGGAAAUUCGGAUCGAAGCCUGAUGCAGUUGAUUACACAAUUGUGAUCAACUCACUAUGCAAAAUCUCUCUUUUAAAAGAAGCCACUGCCUUGUUGUUUAAAAUGACUGCUUUUGGUGUUUCCCCUGAUUCCGUUACGAUGAGUUCUGUUAUCGAUGGUUAUUGUAAACUAGGAAAGUUGGAUAUAGCUUGUAAAAUAUUGAAGUAUUUUAGGCGUCCCUUAAAUAUUUUUAUAUACAAUAGCUUUAUAACGAAGUUAUGUAGGGAAGGAAACACGGUAAAAGCUUCUGAAGUUUUUCUUGAAAUGUCUGAGGUGGGCUUAGUUCCUGACUGUGUUAGUUACACAACCAUGAUAGGAGGCUAUUGUAAAGUGGGAAACGUAAACAGAGCAUUUUCUUUCCUGGGGAAGAUGUUAAAAAGUGGAAUACGACCUUCCGUUAUCACGUAUACUUUGUUCAUUGAUUACUUUUGCAAGUGUCGAGAUGUGGAAAUGGCUGAAGUUAUGCUCCAAAAGAUGAUUAUUGAGGGUUUAAAACCCGAUGUUGUCACGUAUAAUAUUUUGAUGGAUGGAUAUGGAAAGAAGGGCUACUUGCAUAAGGCUUUUGAACUUCUCGAUACGAUGAGAUCUACAAAUCUUACGCCUGAUGUUGUGACGUAUAACACUCUCAUUAAUGGUCUCGUUACGCGAGGGUUUCUUCAAGAGGCAAAGGAUAUGUUAGAUGAGCUCAACAGGAGGGGUUUCAAUAUAGAUGUUGUCACAUACACUAAUAUCAUACAUGGAUAUUCGAAAAGGGGAAACUUUGAGGAAGCUUUUCUUGUUUGGUUUCAUAUGACUGACAACUGUGUAAAGCCUGAUGUUGUUACUUGCAGUGCUCUUCUUAGUGGGUAUUGUCGAGAACGGCGUAUAGACGAAGCAAAUGCUCUAUUUUGUAAAAUGCUGGACAUUGGGUUAAAUCCAGACUUGAUAUUGUACAAUACUCUAAUUCAUGGAUUUUGCAGUGUUGGUAAUGUGGAUGAAGGUUGCAAUUUGGUAAAGAAGAUGAUCGAAAACAGUAUCCUUCCGAACAAUGUUACUCAUCGUGCACUUGUCCUCGGAUUUCAGAAAAGGAAGGUUAUCGAUCCAAUAGAGAGUGCCACUUCUAAGCUUCAAGAAAUCCUGCUUGCAUAUGAUCUGCAGAUUGAUGCCAAUGGAUAUAUCUAAUGUUGGAGAAACAAGAUGAUCGCAGCAUUUUGCAUGUGGCCAGUCCCCUAAAUCAUAUUAUUCAAAUAUUUUGAAUCAAGGAUUUCUCGAGCAUAUCGAAUGCUCCCGGUCCGAGUUUCUUGGGAAAUUGGGGCGGAGAAGCAGCCCAAGGAGGCUGAAUUUGGCAAGGUUUUCCGAGAUUGAACCAGGUGUUGAAAUUUUUUCUUAUGGAUGAGCUUAGAGUGUGCCAAGAUGCAAGGAAGUCAUGCCUACUCCAUCUUUUGAAUCGGAAAUUCAGGAGGAUCAGCAUCGAGGGUUUCAAAUUAAAAGUUCAUUCUAUUUCUAACCAUCAUCGUGAUGAGUUGACCUACUGAUGAACGAGAGUUAUGCAAAUAAAUAAUAAAUGGCUUAGAGAGAAUAGGUUCAAGUCAUGACAAUCGGAUCAUGGCCUUACCACUCGGUCCCCGAUGGGCAGAGGGUUAAAAGUUAUUCCAACCCAAGUUUAUGGUUGAAAUCAGUAUUUGGGCUAGUUUACGUGAGUUAUCUCUUAAAACAAUGACGUGACCUUCCAAUAUUAUAUGGACUUUCUAUUCUUUCUACAGGUCGCUCGUGUUUAUAUUUUAUACAUUUGGAGAGCUUUGUGCAUAUUUUGAGAAUACCGGUGGUUGGGAACCCGACGCGAACCGGGAAGUGACUACAGAGUCCUGGGGAUUCCCAAUUCGUGCGAGCUUCUUAGGGCAUUGAUU